rnacentral:rRNA from 1 species
GCAGCACGAGAGAGCUUGCUCUCUUGGUGGCGAGUGGCGGACGGGUGAGUAAUAUAUCGGAACGUGCCCAGUAGCGGGGGAUAACUACUCGAAAGAGUGGCUAAUACCGCAUACGCCCUACGGGGGAAAGGGGGGGAUCGCAAGACCUCUCACUAUUGGAGCGGCCGAUAUCGGAUUAGCUAGUUGGUGGGGUAAAGGCUCACCAAGGCAACGAUCCGUAGCUGGUUUGAGAGGACGACCAGCCACACUGGGACUGAGACACGGCCCAGACUCCUACGGGAGGCAGCAGUGGGGAAUUUUGGACAAUGGGGGAAACCCUGAUCCAGCCAUCCCGCGUGUAUGAUGAAGGCCUUCGGGUUGUAAAGUACUUUUGGCAGAGAAGAAAAGGCAUCCCCUAAUACGGGAUGCUGCUGACGGUAUCUGCAGAAUAAGCACCGGCUAACUACGUGCCAGCAGCCGCGGUAAUACGUAGGGUGCAAGCGUUAAUCGGAAUUACUGGGCGUAAAGCGUGUGUAGGCGGUUCGGAAAGAAAGAUGUGAAAUCCCAGGGCUCAACCUUGGAACUGCAUUUUUAACUGCCGAGCUAGAGUAUGUCAGAGGGGGGUAGAAUUCCACGUGUAGCUGUGAAAUGCGUAGAUAUGUGGAGGAAUACCGAUGGCGAAGGCAGUAGAUACCCUGGUAGUCCACGCCCUAAACGAUGUCAACUAGCUGUUGGGGCCGUUAGGCCUUAGUAGCGCAGCUAACGCGUGAAGUUGACCGCCUGGGGAGUACGGUCGCAAGAUUAAAACUCAAAGGAAUUGACGGGGACCCGCACAAGCGGUGGAUGAUGUGGAUUAAUUCGAUGCAACGCGAAAAACCUUACCUACCCUUGACAUGUCUGGAAUGCCGAAGAGAUUUGGCAGUGCUCGCAAGAGAACCGGAACACAGGUGCUGCAUGGCUGUCGUCAGCUCGUGUCGUGAGAUGUUGGGUUAAGUCCCGCAACGAGCGCAACCCUUGUCAUUAGUUGCUACGCAAGAGCACUCUAAUGAGACUGCCGGUGACAAACCGGAGGAAGGUGGGGAUGACGUCAAGUCCUCAUGGCCCUUAUGGGUAGGGCUUCACACGUCAUACAAUGGUCGGGACAGAGGGUCGCCAACCCGCGAGGGGGAGCCAAUCUCAGAAACCCGAUCGUAGUCCGGAUCGCAGUCUGCAACUCGACUGCGUGAAGUCGGAAUCGCUAGUAAUCGCGGAUCAGAAUGUCGCGGUGAAUACGUUCCCGGGUCUUGUACACACCGCCCGUCACACCAUGGGAGUGGGUUUCACCAGAAGUAGGUAG